AUUUUAACAUCGGCAGACGAUGAUGAAAAUACUGAAACAGAUGAUACAGAUGAUGUUUAUUCCUUCUUCGGCAGUGGUGAAUUAAACGUUUCCAUUUUCAUACCUGAAAACCUUGGGUUGCAGCGGCCAUGGGUAGAUGAUGAAGACCUGCCCUCUCCUUCCUCCUCAAGUGCUGCAGUAAGUUUAACAAUGGUGGACGAUGAUGAAAAUAAUGAAACAGAUGAAGAUUAUUUCUACUCCGGCAGUGAAGACAUUUCAUUGGUGGGAGCUGAAACGUCCUCCAGCUCAUUUACAGCUAUCUUCAACCCACUCUGUCUGGUCUAUGUUCUCUUGCUGUUGUUAUGUUAGCAUAGUUAGAAGUUUAGAUAUUCACUCACAUUCAACUGGGCAAAAUAAGGAUUUAAAUUGCCUCUAUUGUCGUACAGCAAGACUCAUUAAAUGGGUCACCCAAUGCUACGCCCUUUUACGUCCUGCUAUACCCUGCAGUGCCCUGCUACGCCCUGCUACACCCUGUAAUGCCCUGCAGUGCCCUGCUA